GAUGAACGCUGGCGGCAUGCCUAAAACAUGCAAGUCGAGCGGUAAGGCCCCUUCGGGGGUACACGAGCGGCGGACGGGUGAGUAACGCGUGGGAAUCUACCCAAACUGAGGGAUAAGCAUUGGAAACGAUGUCUAAUACCGCAUAUGGUCUUCGGAUUAAAGCUUCGGCGGUUUGGGAAGAGCCCGCGUAAGAUUAGCUAGUUGGUGAGGUAAAGGCUCACCAAGGCGACGAUCUUUAACUGGUUUGAGAGGGAUGAUCAGUCACACUGGAACUGAGACACGGUCCAGACUCCUACGGGAGGCAGCAGUUAGGAAUUUUCCACAAUGGGCGAAAGCCUGAUGGAGCAAUGCCGCGUGCAGGAUGAAGGCCUUAGGGUUGUAAACUGCUUUUAUACGUGAAGAAUAUGACGGUAACGUAUGAAUAAGGAUCGGCUAACUCCGU
rnacentral:rRNA from 1 species